rnacentral:sRNA from 1 species
CUUUUUUCAAAGUGUCACGAAACGGGAUUGAAGCAUCUUAAGUUUUUUCCUUUUGUUAUUUAAUUACCGAUUGGAAAGAGGGAGGGUUUCUGAGCAGAAACCAAGUUGGGAUUGCAGAACAGAGAAGAUUCACAGUGGUUUACCGUUGUGAGUUGUUUGGGUAAUCGUGCCUGGUUUUAAACCGAAAGGAUUGUCCUUUAAAAAUGGAACAUGGACUUUAUUAUAAAUGGGACUUAGAUUGGAAAAGACAUUGGUCCCCUAUUUUAAGCCAUGUGAAGCUGUUUUAGGUACCAGGAUCCCCAGUAAAGUCUUUCUAGACUCACAUGGUUAGGACACGUACUUCUGUGCAUCAUAAGCAAUGUAGGUAGGAGCGCAGAUCUACUCUGGAUUUGUAUUCACGUUUGAAAUGUGCGCUCCCUACUUGGGGGUUGGAAUCCAAACAGAAUUUGUAUUUAGUUACCUUUUUUGUGUCAUGCAAACUUACCUUAACUGUCAUGCAUUUUUCUAGUAAUAGCUCUUCAAGUCUGCAAUAAAAAAUGGCCUCCAAUAAAACUACAUUGCAAAAAAUGGGAAAAAAACAGAAUGGAAAGAGUAAAAAAGUUGAAGAGGCAGAGCCUGAAGAAUUUGUCGUGGAAAAAGUACUAGAUCGACGUGUAGUGAAUGGGAAAGUGGAAUAUUUCCUGAAGUGGAAGGGAUUUACAGAUGCUGACAAUACUUGGGAACCUGAAGAAAAUUUAGAUUGUCCAGAAUUGAUUGAAGCGUUUCUUAACUCUCAGAAAGCUGGCAAAGAAAAAGAUGGUACAAAAAGAAAAUCUUUAUCUGACAGUGAAUCUGAUGACAGCAAAUCAAAGAAGAAAAGAGAUGCUGCUGACAAACCAAGAGGAUUUGCCAGAGGUCUUGAUCCUGAAAGAAUAAUUGGUGC